CAUACUGCCGUGAAUACGUUCCCGGGCCUUGUACACACCGCCCGUCACACCAUGAGAGUUGGGAAUACCCGAAGCCUGUGAGCUAACGUUAAGAGGCAGCAGUCGAAGGUAGAAUCAAUGAUUGGGGUGAAGUCGUAACAAGGUACC
rnacentral:rRNA from 1 species